rnacentral:rRNA from 1 species
GUUAUUGUUGAAACGGAGGCAUAAGUUUUGCAUCAUCCAUUAAGAGAGGAGAAAAGAGUUUGUUACACACAUCUAUUACUAUUACGUAAGGUUGUUAUUGUCCUGGCAUGAUAUUACCCAACUUUUUCACACCCGCAAUAACCAGUGUUUUGCUUCCCUCUUGAUGGAGCUGUUUGAACCUGUAGCCACUUUGGUUAUCCAACUUUUUCUGCACCUGUAGUCACUUGAACAGAUGAGAAUUCUUCAAGCCUACCUAUAGCCACUUGAACAGAUGUCUAUCUCAAAUCUGCUCAUCUUUUUCACAAAAGCCAAUAGUACUAAUAAGUAUACAUACAUGAUGUACGUCCAUUGGUGUUUGAAGCAUCAUACAGACCAUGCAUGACACCAGGAUGCAUCUGCAUUCAACUUCACAAAGUCAGAGAAAACACAAUACACACCAGUAUGCAUCUGCACGACCAGGUAGUACAUAUUUCCUCCGUUUCUAAAUAUAAGUCUUUUUAGAAAUUUUAAUAUGACUACACGAAUAUAUAUAGACAUACUUAAGAGUGUAGAUUCACUCAUUUUGCUCCGUAUAUACUUUAUAUUGAAAUAUCUAAAAAGACUUUUAGAAACGAAGGGAGUACAUUUAUCUCUCGCAUGCAUGCACCACUUUCUUUGUACGUACGUCACUCACCUUUGCUAUGCUCUCGGUGAUCAAUAGUCUAGGAUAGGAUGUUCCUCUUGUAUAGGCAUGCACGAUGACCAAAAGUCUCCGGUCGAUCGAUUCCUCCGGGUGAUUCACGGCAUGUUGCAUCGCUCUAGUCUCCACCAUAUAGUAGUACGUCUAUAUGAAGAAAAAGAAGGACUGAUAGUUAGGGAAAGAAGGAGAGAAAAAUGCAUGCAGACACAUAAACAUUCGUACGUACUGGGCUGGUCAUACAUUCGACCCAGCUUGCUUGCAUGCGCCGGAACAGAAAUUAUAGCUAAUGUACCCUACAUUCCCUCGUGUGGAGAUAAAAGCAGUCGCUCCUGUUUCAAAGAUUGAUUCAAUUCCAGCGUGCUGCUGGCUUAUUCUACACACAUUUUGUUGGGCAUUCACACCUGCUUGUGUGGUAACCCUUUUCCACCCUCAAGUUCGGCACAGAUUUACCUUUUCCGCACGAGCUAAUAGUACUAAGUACGUACAUGAUGUACGUCCACAGGUGUUAGUUGACGUGCAUUCGCACAUGCUUCUGUAACCUUUUUCCAUCCUCAAGUCAAGUUCGGCAUUGAUUUACCUUUUCCACAAAAGCUACUAGUACAAAGUACGUGCUUGAUGUACGUCCACUGGUGUUACCAUUGAAAUUGCUGGCUCUGCAUGUACAUGGGCGUCAUUAUAGUACACAUUCAUGUCCAACAAACUCACGAGCACACGGAGAGGGAGGUAAACCUAUCGGGCAAGACUUAUCAUGCGGACCUACUGGUGUCGCUUCCGUGUAUUACCUAGAAGGAAACACUAGCCGGCCGCCGCGAGUCUUCCUCAAGUCUCCCCCUUCCCGUUGCCAUCGAAGGUGUGGUCGAGUAAAGCCCGUGUGGUGGCGGCGGGGCUGGUUUUCUCUCUUCUUCUCGGUUUGGAUGGGACGGUGCGGAAUAUUAGAUCCGACGGAGGCUCGCAUGGCGGCGUGGUGUGCACGCAGGCGUCUCGAGCUCGGGGUGGCUCAGGAGGGAGGCAUGGUGCCGGCAGAGGUCCCAUGUGGAGGUAGUGGCUCGGUCUGGGAUGUUCUUCCGCCUGGAUCUGGGGCUCGGCAGGGGCGGUGGCUUUAUCUUGCCAUAGAAGAGGUUAGAGGAUUGGAGCUGGUUGUGGCUCCGAGGAGAUGAUGGAACAUGGUAGCAUGGAUAGGGUGUGUCGGCGGCGCCGCGUCUCUGGCACGUUUGGGAUGGACCUCAGUUGGCCUGUCAGAUGGGUGGUGGGAUUUUUUACCGACGUGCGGCUCUGGUGGCGGAGGUUGGUGGUGCUCCUCCCUUCAGCGGGGCUGAGCGCGUUGUACGCCUUCUGGUGCGCGCGACUGAGCCUAUUGCAUCCCUAUGUGUGACAUGUUGCUGGUCUGCCCACCCAGCUCUGCGCUUGGUGGCGAGGGCCGGCUAGUGGAGGCUACUCUUGGUAAGCUUGCAGGUUUGAUGCAGGUGGGGUGGUUGCAUAGAUCUGGGUGAAAACUUAGCAACAACCUUGUCGCUGCUAGCAGAAAUGGUGCCCAUGGAUUUCGUCUUCCACCCAAGAGGUGCCACCGUGGAGCUAUCACAUCUAACCAUCUCAUGAAUUGUGUCUCGGUAUGAAAACCUUAGCUCGGGCUCUGCCGGAUCAGAUGGCGGUGGUGUCCUUUUUUUGCGGUGGAGUCUUUGACAUCAUUAUCUCCUUGAAUACGUCAUUUGUGGAGUCCAUGAUGGCAACUACCAAGGGGUUGUUGAGGGGAAGCUUGGGCUCAUGGGGCUACUAGCGAAGGAGUAGCUUGGGGCACAUGCCUGUUCAGUGGUGGUAGAGGAAGUGAUAUGCAUCUAUUGUGCCAUGCUAUUUUUUGGUCACCCUGCUUUACUGGUUGACUCUUCUCAGAGGUUCGUGUCAGCGAUAAAGUCUCGGGGAAUGAGGUCCUUUGAUGGCGUUCCCGGUUCUAGUUGCUUUGCAUAGUGCUCUGACUCACACAUUUGAUGAUGGCAGAUAUGUCUCCAAUAUAACUCUAAUUUUUAAUUAUUUCAUGUUGUUAUAUUAUCAAUCUUGGAUGUUUUAUAUUCAUUUCAACUUUAUAUCAUUUUUUGGGACUAACCCAUUGACAUAGUGUCCAGUGCCAGUUGUUAUUUUUUACUUUGCAGAAUAUCAAUACCAAAUGAAGUCCAAAUACCCCGAAACUUUUUGGAGAUUUUUUUCUGACCAGAAGACACCCAGGGGGCCACAGGAGCACACUGGAAGAGGCCCAUGGGGCCCACUAGGCACCAGGGUGCGCCAGGGGGGGGGGCAGGCGCGCCCUGGUGGGUAGUGGAGCCCGCAUGAAGCUUCCUAACCUACCUCCACCUCUAUAAAUACUCUAAAAUCCCAAAAACCGUAGGGGAGUCGACGAAACACUUUUCCAACGGCAACAAGUUCGAGAACCACGAGAUCCAAUCUAAAGGCCUUUUCCGGCACUCUGCCGGAGGGGCAACGAUCAUGGAGGGGUUCUUCAUCAUCCUUGUCGCCCCUCUGAUGAUGUGUGAGUAAUUUACCACAGACCUAUGGGUCCAUAGUUAGUAGCUAGAUGGCCUCUUCUCUCUUUUUGAUUUUUAAUACAAUGUUCUCCUCGAUGUUUUUGGAGACUAUUUGAUGUAACUCCUUUUUACUGUGUGUUUGUUGGAAUCCGAUGAAUUUUGGGUUUACGAUCAGUUCUAUACAUGAAUAUUAUUUGAGUCUUUGCUGAACUCUUUUAUGCAUGAUUUUUAUAGCCUCGUAUUUCUUCUCCGAUUUAUUCAUUUGGUUUGGCCAACUAGAUUGAUUUUUCCUACCAUGGGAAGAGGUGCUUUGUGAUGGGUUCGAUCUUGUAGUGCUCAAUCUCAGUGACAGAAAAAGACAUGACACACAUGUAUCGUUGCUAUUAAGGGUAACAAGAUGAGGUUUGCUCUUACAUGAGUUUAUUUCGUCUACAUCAUGUCAUCGUUCUUAUUGCAUUACUCCGUUUUUCAUGAACUUAAUACACUAGAUACAUACUGGAUAGCUGUCAAUGUGUGGAGUAAUAGUAGUAGAUGCAGGCAGGAGUCGGUCUACUAAUUUUGGACGUGAUGCCUAUAUACAUGAUCAUUGCCUUGGAUAUCAUCAUAAUUAUUCACUUUUCUAUCAAUUGCCCAAUAGUAAUUUUACCCACCGUAUGCUAUUUUCUUGAGAGAAACCUCUAGUGAAAACUACGGCCCCCGGGUCUAUUUCCUAUCAUAUUAAAUCUAAAAAUACCUUACUGCACUUUUUUGUGUGUUUUAGUUAGAUCUAUUUAUCAGAUCUCAUACAACUUAAUCUAUCUCAAUACCGUUAAGGGAUUAACAACCCCUCUUAUGCGUUGGGUUGCAAGUAUUUGUUGUUUGUGUGCAGGUACUGUUUACAUAGUGUUGCUUAGUUCUCCUACUAUGAUUGAUAACCUUGAUUUCAUAACUGAGGGAAAUACUUACAUUUGUUGUGUUGCAUCAUCCUCUCCUCUUCGGGAAAUUACCAACGCAGAUACAAGCAAUCAAUUGCCAUCGGUAGCGAGGCCAAGUGGAGGCGCAUCAAUUAUCUCGGCGGAACAUCCCCCUUCGGUUGCGUCAGCGGUUUUCUCUGUCACCACAAGGCCUUAGCGGUGGGAUGCCCUUUGACUAGGGUUGCGACUCUCCUAGCUCUUCACGGUGAAGUGUGAUCGUUGGGCAAGCAGGUGGCCUCUACCUCUUUGUGAUCCUGACUUUGGGUGUCCUUUCAAGUUGCCCGGCCGCAUUCGUCCUUCUAUCCAC